UUGUCUCACAGCUCAGUUGAUGGAGCAUGAGACUCCGAAUCUCAAGGUUGUGGGUUUAAGCCCCACGUUGGGCAAA